CAAACGGCUGCUCGAACAAUAACAUCGGCGCACGGGCGAGCGUGCGCGAGCGGGCGGCUACACGUGUAGAGAAAUAGAGAGACGGAGAGUUGUCGCGCGGCUGUGUCGUAAAAUCUGUCGUAAAGGAUAUUUCGACAGGAUGAAAUUCCUAUGCUUCGAAAAUUAAGUCGCAAACAGAUUGAAUUACUCGAACAGCAAGAGAUCAGAAUCUUCGUCCGCAAAGGGUUAAAGCAAUCUCCCUUUGCUAAGUCUGAG